rnacentral:lncRNA from 1 species
AGAGAGGGAAUGAUCUAGAGAGAGAAGGAGAAAAAAAGAACGGUGUAGGAAGACUUCGAGGUUUUUGGUAAGAAAUUAGUAUUUCUUUAAAUAUCUUAAGGAAUAUUUCUAGAAAAAUUUAUUAUGAAGUCUUUGUUUUAUGUUUUGCAUGUUCCAUACUUAGUAGUUCUAAUAAAGUGAAUUGUUAUUAAUUUCAAGCACACUAUGUG